GUGACGGUGUCCAGAUGUACGAGUCUUUCAUAGCGUUAUUAUUCAAAUUCAUCGAAACGAAACUAUAUGUGUCAAGAAAACGAAACCUUCCACGAGAAUUGUUCCAUGAAAAAGCCAUAUGCAUUUACAAAACGAUUAUGGGGAAGAGAGGACUGGAAGUUAUCUACCCAGUCACACCGCCAUAAGUACACUGUAAUGCAGCCUCUCUUAUCGGCCUUAUUAAUCAUUCAACGAGUGUAACAUGGUUGCAUGAAAUAGAAAGAACGUAUCGCGCAAUUGUACGUAACGAGAAGGUUAACAAAUUGUACGGCUAAGGAUGUCAUCUAUCAGAUCGACUCGUGUUACGAUUAUCACACAAUCUGUCUCGAGACUCGUGUCUGACGUUCUUUACGUCUCUUUCAGCAAUAAUGCAACUCGCAUACAUCAUUGUAGGGUAUUCCUUUGACAAGGAAGAUUCAAAUGAGGUUAUGAACUAAGCCUCAAAAUGAUUUUGAAUAUAUAGAAAUUAACCUAUAGCGAAUGAUAAAUAUUUUGUAAUUUAAAAACACUCAAUUUUCAGAGAAAAAUUUGCAAAGAAUAUGCUUGUAACUCUCCAGACUAAGAAAUCAAUUUUUCAAUGUGAACAAAUAUUAUUAAAAUACUUUAAACAUCGUAAAUUAAAGUAAAAACAGAAAAAUAUGCGGAUGCGACGAAUAACUUGCGAAAUAAAAAUCUACAAGUACAGCACGUUCUCAUAAUAGACAGAAAUUAGAAAAUUCAAGAUUCCGUAUCUCUUAAACAAAUCAGAAACUAGCAAAAUUAAACUCGCCCUAAUUUCACGUUUAA